rnacentral:rRNA from 1 species
GUACUUACUCCUACGGGAGGCAGCAGUAGGGAAUCUUCCGCAAUGGGCGAAAGCCUGACGGAGCAACGCCGCGUGAGUGAUGAAGGUCUUCGGAUCGUAAAACUCUGUUAUUAGGGAAGAACAAAUGUGUAAGUAACUGUGCACGUCUUGACGGUACCUAAUCAGAAAGCCACGGCUAACUACGUGCCAGCAGCCGCGGUAAUACGUAGGUGGCAAGCGUUAUCCGGAAUUAUUGGGCGUAAAGCGCGCGUAGGCGGUUUCUUAAGUCUGAUGUGAAAGCCCACGGCUCAACCGUGGAGGGUCAUUGGAAACUGGGAAACUUGAGUGCAGAAGAGGAAAGUGGAAUUCCAUGUGUAGCGGUGAAAUGCGCAGAGAUAUGGAGGAACACCAGUGGCGAAGGCGACUUUCUGGUCUGUAACUGACACUGAGAGACGAAAGCUAGGGGAGCGAAUGGGAUUAGAUACCCGGGUAGUCCAGGCAU